rnacentral:rRNA from 1 species
GUAGCGAAAUUCCUUGUCGGGUAAGUUCCGACCUGCACGAAUGGAGUAACGACUUGGGCGCUGUCUCAACCAUGGACUCGGCGAAAUUGCACUACGAGUAAAGAUGCUCGUUACGCGCGGCAGGACGGAAAGACCCCGGGACCUUUACUAUAGUUUGGUAUUGGUGUUUGGUUCGGCUUGUGUAGGAUAGGUGGGAGACUGUGAAACCUUCACGCCAGUGGGGGUGGAGUCAACGUUGAAAUACCACUCUGGUCGUACUAGAUGUCUAACUUAGGUCCAUGAUCUGGAUCAGGGACAGUGCCUGAUGGGUAGUUUAACUGGGGCGGUUGCCUCCUAAAAUGUAACGGAGGCGCUCAAAGGUUCCCUCAGCCUGGUUGGCAAUCAGGUGGCGAGUGUAAGUGCACAAGGGAGCUUGACUGUGAGACAGACAUGUCGAGCAGGGACGAAAGUCGGAACUAGUGAUCCGGCGCCAGCAAGUGGAAGCGGCGUCGCUCAACGGAUAAAAGGUACCCCGGGGAUAACAGGCUGAUCUUCCCCAAGAGUCCAUAUCGACGGGAUGGUUUGGCACCUCGAUGUCGGCUCGUCGCAUCCUGGGGCUGGAGUAGGUCCCAAGGGUUGGGCUGUUCGCCCAUUAAAGCGGCACGCGAGCUGGGUUUAGAACGUCGUGAGACAGUUCGGUCCCUAUCCGCCGCGCGCGUAGGAAACUUGAGAAAGGCUGUCCCUAGUACGAGAGGACCGGGAUGGACGAACCUCUGGUGUGCCAGUUGUUCCGCCAGGAGCACGGCUGGUUAGCUACGUUCGGAAGUGAUAACCGCUGAAUGCAUCUAAGCGGGAAGCACGUUUCAAGAUGAGGUUUCCCACCCCUUUGUGGGUUAAGGCCCCCAACAGACUAUUGGGUUGAUAGGCCGGAGGUGUACAGCAGUAAUGCCUAGCCGACCGGUACUAAUAGGCCGAGGGCUUGCCAUA